UGGGGAAUUUUGGACAAUGGGGGAAACCCUGAUCCAGCCAUCCCGCGUGUGCGAUGAAGGCCUUCGGGUUGUAAAGCACUUUUGGCAGGAAAGAAACGUCGCGGGUUAAUACCCCGCGAAACUGACGGUACCUGCAGAAUAAGCACCGGCUAACUACGUGCCAGCAGCCGCGGUAAUACGUAGGGUGCAAGCGUUAAUCGGAAUUACUGGGCGUAAAGCGUGCGCAGGCGGUUCGGAAAGAAAGAUGUGAAAUCCCAGAGCUUAACUUUGGAACUGCAUUUUUAACUACCGGGCUAGAGUGUGUCAGAGGGAGGUGGAAUUCCGCGUGUAGCAGUGAAAUGCGUAGAUAUGCGGAGGAACACCGAUGGCGAAGGCAGCCUCCUGGGAUAACACUGACGCUCAUGCACGAAAGCGUGGGGAGCAAACAGGAUUAGAUACCCUGGUAGUCCACGCCCUAAACGAUGUCAACUAGCUGUUGGGGGCCUUCGGGCCUUGGUAGCGCAGCUAACGCGUGAAGUUGACCGCCUGGGGAGUACGGUCGCAAGAUUAAAACUC
rnacentral:rRNA from 1 species